UUUUAACAUUUCUAUAUUUAUUUUCAUAUUUCUCAAUUUAUUGACCAAAAUCAUUAUGUUCCAUUUUUGCACUCUUUCUCCCCGUGGACCAAAUACACAUUCAUCUCCUCCAAAUCCAAAUCCUUAAACUGUUAACUUAAUCCAAAUCCACCCACACAUUCACAUAACCUCAAAAUUCUCUCUUUUCGCUUUGUUUUUUUUCUAACCUUAAUCGCUGUCUCUCUUCCAACAAUCACAGUUUCAUCGGAUUCCCCGAAUUUUGUCCUGG
rnacentral:lncRNA from 1 species